CCUCUGCUUCUAUACUACCGAAGAGGAGUGGGCAAGCAGAAGCUGAGGCAUGUCACAUCGCUCCAAGUACCCUCUCUCAGUCACUAAUAUACCCCCUUGUUUCCUACACUGCAGACUCAAGAAUCUUUAAUUCACUCAUCUAUGAUGGCCACAGCAGGUGGGGUUAUCAUCAAUGUGAAAGCUGGUAGUUCCCAGAUAAUGUCCUGGAGUGAAGCAAAGAUUAUGUUUCCCGAGGGAGAGUGACACUAUCCCAGUGUGCCUUGAAUAACCUGAGGUGUCCUUGUGGAGCUGACAGGGGAGUAUGAACCAACAGGAUGUUAUCUGCACAUUGGAAGAUCAAAAGUAUAGCACUGAAAAUUGGAAAUGCAAAUCAAAACAACUCUGAGAUACCAUCUUACACCUGUCAGAAUGUCUAAAAUCAAAAACACUGAAGACAGCUUCUGUUGGAGAGGAUAUGGAGGAAGGGGAACACUCCUCCACUGUUAGUGAGAGUGCAAAUUUAUACAGCCACUUUGGAAAUCAGUAUUGUGAUUUCUCAGAAAAUUGGUAAUCAAUCUUCCUCAAGACCCAGCUAUACCACUCUUGGGCAUAUACCCAAGGAAUGCUCAAUCAUACCACAAGGACACAUGCUCAACUAUGUUCAUAGCAGCAUUAUUUGUAAUAGCCAGAACCUAGAAACACCCUAGAUGCCCCUCAACUGAAGAAUGGAUCAAGACAAUGUGGUACAUAAACACAAUGGAGUACUACUCAACAGAGAAAAACAAUGACAUCAUGAGGUUUGCAGGCAAAUGGUUGGAACUAGAAAAUAUCAUCCUGAGUGAAGUAGCCCAGACUCAGAAGGUCAAGCAUGGUAUAUACUCACUCAUAAGUGGAUACUAGAUGUAAAGCAAAGGAUAACCAGACUGCAACCCAGAGCUCCAGGGAGGCUAGCUAGCAGAGAAGACCCUAGGAAGGAUGCAUGGAUCACCCAGUGAAAGAGAAUUAGAUGAGAUCUACAUGAGCAAACUGGGGAUGAGGGAGGUAAUACAGGGCAAAGGAUGAGGGAUGAGAACAUGGGGGAGUGGGAGGUUCCAGCUGGGACAGGGACAGAGUGGGGGAGCAAGGAAAAAGAUACCAUGAUAAAUGAAGAUAUCAUGGGAGUAGGGAGAAACAGAGUGCUAGGGAGGUUCCCAGGAAUCCACAAGGAUGACCCCACCUUAGACUACUAGCAAUAGUUGAGAGGGUGCCUGAAAUGGCCUACUCCGGUGAUCAGAUGGCUGAAUACCCUAAUUGUCAUGAUAGAACCCUCAUUCAGUGACUGAUGGAAGCAGAUGAAGAGAUCCACAGCCUGGUGCUAGGCCAAGAUCCAGGAGUCCAAUGGAUGAGAGAGAAGAGGGAGUCUAUGAGCAAGGGACAUGGAGAUCAUGAUGGGAAAAUGUACAGAGACGACCAGCUAAACUAGUGGAAAUGCAUGAACUGUGGAACAAUAGCUGAGGAGCCCCCAUGGUCCUGGACUAGGCCCUCUGGAUAAGCGAGACAGUUGUUUAGCUUGAACUGUUUAGGGGGCCCCCAGGAAGUGUGAUUAGGACCUGUCCCUGGUGCAUGAGCCAGCUUUUUGGAGCCUAGUGCCUACAGUGAGACACUUUCUGCAGCCUUGAUGCAGGGAGGAGAGGCUUGGACCUGCCUCAAUUGAAUAUACCAGGCUCUGCUGACUCCCCAUAGGAGUCCUUGCCUUGGAGGAGGUGGGAAUGAGGGGUGGUUUGGGGGGAAGGUUGGGAGCAGGAGGAGGAGAGGGGAAUCUGUGGUUGGUAUGU